UUCUAUAUUGUGUUGAUAAUACUAUAUAAUAAAAAGUCGUCACUAAUCUGGAUAUUUCUCUGCAGAGACAGACUGGAGAAUGGCGACUAAAACAGCGUCUGGACUGGUGCUUUUAAUUGCUGUAACGAUAGUCUGUCACGUAACAUCACAAUGCGGGGAAAACCAUUGUAGAAGUGUGAAAGGAGGCUGUUAUGUUAAUCAAGAGGAGUGGAUGGAGGGGUGUACAAAGAAAAGAUGUGUGGUUGAAGAACUUUCUUGGAGAACAGAAAUAGUCAAGAUACAGUGCAGAGACAAAGAUGGUACCUGUAUAGAUGAUCAACAACCAAUGCCUGAAUACGGCGAUUGUGUCUGUUAUGUUACGACAAAAGGUUGGAGAAUGACGUGUACCCGCGGUGGUUAAACACUCAUAUUUUUU